AGAUGCCGCCUGACCCGUGAGCUCCUCUCGCAUUUUGUACGUGUUUCUCAGUUGAAAACUGGGGGUUCAGGAGGGAGCGCCGCGUUGGAUGCUGCUCGAGCCAUGGAGUUCCUCCAGAUUCCAGUGUCGGGCAUCUCGAAUGGGUCAAGAGUGGCGCAUGAGUAAUAAAGGAGGUGGAAUUGCUACCGCUCUGAUGUCACACAUAAUACCUGACUUCAGUUUAGGAAUCAAGAUAAAGAGUCUCACCUGGAGCUACAUGUGGUGGCCUGGAAUAGAUAAACAGACUGAAGACUUAGCCAAAAGCUGUUUGGAAUGCCAAAGAGUUCAAAAUGCACCCCCACAGGCACCAUUACACCCGUGGGAAUGGCCAUCAUCAACAUGGCAAAGAGGACAUAUUGACUUUGCUGGGCUGUUCAUGGACUCCAUGUUUCUUAUUGGUGUGGAUGCUCAUUCGAAAUGGCCAGAGGUUAUACCAAUAAAGUCAACCACCUCAGCAAAGACUUUCUCCUCUCUGAGGGCUAUCUUCGCCAGAAAUGGCUUACCAGAACAAAUGUGAGUAACAAUGGACCACAAUACACGUCAGAAGAAUUGCAUCUGUUCAUGAAGAAGAGUGGAAUCAGACAUGUCAAAUCAACUCCUCACACCCAGUAACGAGUGGGUUAGCUGAAAAUUUUAUCCAAACCAAGAAGUCCACUGAAGCGAUGGACAAGGAGGACUUUUCUCUACAGCACAAGGUGCACAACUUCCUUUUUUGUGUAUCAGAACUCUGUUCAUGCAAGAACAAAUUGAACACCUGCAAUACUGUUCAUGAACUGGAAUCUGGAAUCAUGCAUAGACCUCCUGAAAGCAGAUCUACGGAGAGAAGUACACAAUCAGCAGUUCAACCAGUUGCCAAGUGAAGCAGCAAGGACCUUCUAGAUUGGAUUGGAAGUCGUAACAUGUGAUUACUGAGAAGACAAGUGGACACCUGGUAGGAUAGCUACAAGAACUGGACCACUAAUGUAAACAAUAGAUGUUGGAGAUCUUACAUGGAGACAUCAUGUGGACCAGGUACUGGAUGCUCAACUGAAGAACAGACCUGAGUCAAAUACAUCCAACAAGAUGAACACAUUACAGUCACUGAACUUAUCUCUCAGUGAUGAUGCCACUGACAGCAACAUGACACUGGAAACGAGAAUUAGACAAGACACCCAGCAAACCUGAUGUCACUCCACAGGUCCUGAGGCACUAUCCUGAAAGAAACAGAACGUCACCCAAAAGACUGAACCUUUAGAAAUAUGAAGUUAGUUAUGGACUGUAUUGUGCAAGCAUGUUUAUUUGGAAUAUAGGUUUAUGAAAGGGGAAUUGGAUGUUUUGUACAUACAGAGUUUUAUGUUGCAUUAUUCUGAAGGGAGAGGAAGUGUGAUGUGUGGAUCUAUUUCUUUUACAGCAAUGACCCCCCCCCUUAGCACUAAACAUUGAUCUGUUGUCCACACAUGCACAUUGCUGUCUCUCUGACUGCAAUGUGAAUACACCAGUUAAAGCCAUGUCCCGCAUGUGUGCUUUUAUUUAAUUGAUAUGUAGUUGUGCACAGACACAACAGUAUAUUGUAUACCACCUGAAAUUCUUACUCUCUGCAGAUAUUCCUGAAAUAAAAAAACAAAAAA